rnacentral:rRNA from 1 species
UACGGGGGGGGGCAAGCGUUGUUCGGAAUUACUGGGCGUAAAGGGCUCGUAGGCGGCCAACUAAGUCAGACGUGAAAUCCCUCGGCUUAACCGGGGAACUGCGUCUGAUACUGGAUGGCUUGAGUUUGGGGAGAGGGAUGCGGAAUUCCAGGUGUAGCGGUGAAAUGCGUAGAUAUCUGGAGGAACACCGGUGGCGAAGGCGGCAUCCUGGACCAACACUGACGCUGAGUGAGCGAGAGCCAGGGGAGCAAACGGG